AGCAGCCGCCGCGGGAAAACAGAGGGUGCGAGCGUUAAUCGGAUUUACUGGGCGUAAAGCGUGCGUAGGCGGCUUUUUAAGUCGGAUGUGAAAUCCCUGAGCUUAACUUAGGAAUUGCAUUCGAUACUGGGAAGCUAGAGUAUGGGAGAGGAUGGUAGAAUUCCAGGUGUAGCGGUGAAAUGCGUAGAGAUCUGGAGGAAUACCGAUGGCGAAGGCAGCCAUCUGGCCUAAUACUGACGCUGAGGUACGAAAGCAUGGGGAGCAAACAGGAUUAGAUACCCCCGUAGUCCCUGUCUCUUAUAC
rnacentral:rRNA from 1 species